rnacentral:rRNA from 1 species
CCGUAGGUGAACCUGCGGAAGGAUCAUUACCUAGAGUUGUAGGCUUUGCCUGCUAUCUCUUACCCAUGUCUUUUAAGUACCUUACGUUUCCUCGGCGGGUCCGCCCGCCGAUUGGACAAUUUAAACCAUUUGCAGUUGCAAUCAGCGUCUGAAAAAACUUAAUAGUUACAACUUUCAACAACGGAUCUCUUGGUUCUGGCAUCGAUGAAGAACGCAGCGAAAUGCGAUAAGUAGUGUGAAUUGCAAAAUUCAGUGAAUCAUCGAAUCUUUGAACGCACAUUGCGCCCCUUGGUAUUCCAUGGGGCAUGCCUGUUCGAGCGUCAUUUGUACCUUCAAGCUCUGCUUGGUGUUGGGUGUUUGUCUCGCCUCUGCGUGUAGACUCGCCUCAAAACAAUUGGCAGCCGGCGUAUUGAUUUCGGAGCGCAGUACAUCUCGCGCUUUGCACUCAUAACGACGACGUCCAAAAGUACAUUUUUACACUCUUGACCUCGGAUCAGGUAGGGAUACCCGCUGAACUUAAGCAUAUCAAUAAGCGGAGG